rnacentral:rRNA from 1 species
GACGAACGCUGGCGGCGUGCUUAACACAUGCAAGUCGAACGGAAAGGCCCUGCUUUUGUGGGGUGCUCGAGUGGCGAACGGGUGAGUAACACGUGAGUAACCUGCCCUUGACUUUGGGAUAACUUCAGGAAACUGGGGCUAAUACCGGAUAGGAGCUCCUGCUGCAUGGUGGGGGUUGGAAAGUUUCGGCGGUUGGGGAUGGACUCGCGGCUUAUCAGCUUGUUGGUGGGGUAGUGGCUUACCAAGGCGUUGACGGGUAGCCGGCCUGAGAGGGUGACCGGCCACAUUGGGACUGAGAUACGGCCCAGACUCCUACGGGAGGCAGCAGGGGGGAAUAUUGCACAAUGGGCGGAAGCCUGAUGCAGCAACGCCGCGUGCGGGAUGACGGCCUUCGGGUUGUAAACCGCUUUCGCCUGUGACGAAGCGUGAGUGACGGUAAUGGGUAAAGAAGCACCGGCUAACUACGUG